GGGUCGAUGAUGACACUGCAAUGGGGCUGAAAAGAGGUGAUGUCUUAAAAAACAGGCUCAAUAGGAUUACGCUGAGGCCC
ensembl:snoRNA SNORD115 Small nucleolar RNA SNORD115